AAGCCGUGGUGUGGGCAUUGGUUAGUAUAGCUUCUGAACCGUUCCCAAGCUUCACUAAAGCUCUCGUUGUGUUCUGUGUGAAACUUGAGAUCUGAUUCCUGAGUUU
rnacentral:snoRNA from 1 species